rnacentral:rRNA from 1 species
ACCCAAAUAUCUAAACGGAGAAAUUCAAUACUACCUUUAAACGUAGUGUGCACUUUUCUCUUAGUAAGACGCCGUGAUCCAUUAGAAAUUGAUAUACAUCAAGUAUAUAUUAGGUCAUCAAUAGGCCAAUAUGAAGUUUAUUCGGAACAAAUGGCAUAAUCUUUUACGGUUGUGUGUAUUGUCUGGUAAGCAUAUUGUAUUACCUGUAAUGACUGUCUGAUGGAUUUUAAAGAUCAUAUUAUUUGAUGUUUCGGCAUCACUCAUUCGUGAGAAUUAUGAUAUGUAUCUGAUCAACGGUGGUUAAAUUUGGGAUACCUUUUGGACCCGUCUUGAAACACGGACCAAGGAGUCUAUCUAGUAUGCGAGUAAAUGGAUAAUUUAUGAAAUCUAUUUGCAUAAGAAACUUGACUGUUGUAUGUGGGAUUACGAGAAUGCACGCAAGUGUUUCUCUUCCAUCCCGGGGUAUUUUCAUCAACAUAUGCGCAAGCAUAUGGAAAAUAUACCAUGAGCACACUGGAUACGACCCGAAAGAUGGUGAACUAUGCCUGAUCAGGUCGAAGUCAGGGGAAACCCUGAUGGAGGACCGAAGCAGUUCUGACGUGCAAAUCG